UGCAGACGCUGGUUCCAGACAAGUUAGGAGAGCCACCUGGGUCACCUCCUGUGUCUCACGUGCCAGUCUGAGGUGGAGUAAUAUUUCCCUAUGACCUUCGGUGCAACAGUAGGCAUUCGACCCCCAGGAAGAGCGAGCCCUGUUCUCUGGCUCAGGAGACGGAGGAAGGCAUGCGUGACCUUGCUUGUACUUGGCCCAGUGCAGGGACUCCAUAAAUUUCCUCGAAACAGUGACUUGGAGUCAACACUGAGAACAGAGAAGGGCUUACUCAUUUACUGGGCUCAGACCUUGCGUGUCACCUCUGGGGGUGAGCAGAGAGUCCGACGCAUCACCCGAUGGCACACACAGGAGUCCCGACUUGUACGGCAGGACCGCGGAGUCGGGAAGGCGGAGAAGGCUGUGCUUUGCCAGGAGCCUGGCGAGCCGCUGCAGGAAGCAGGGACGCGGCGCCUCGAGCAGGCAGAUGGUCACAGCUGGAACCGCAGCCCUUGGCCUCACGGAACCUGGAGCCUGUGGAAGCAAGACUGAACCAGGAGAUGCAUCAGCAGGACCGUUUCAGGUGCGGGCUGAGUGUCCUGAAGGAAAUGAGCAGAACGAUAUGACAGAGGAUCCUGGGUGUACAGGCACAUGACACUUCCUGAGAGAAGAAGGGGGAGAAUCACCAUCUUUACUUUCCCAUUUUAAAACCAGAAAUUUCUGGGGCACCUGAGUGGCUCAGUUGGUGGAGCAU